rnacentral:lncRNA from 1 species
AAAGCCCCAGCGUCGGCAGAGAAGAGGCCGAAGGCUGAGAAAAAGAUCUCUAAAGAUAGCGGAGAUAAGAAGAAGAAGAAGAUCAAGAAGAGCACCGAGACGUACAAGAUUUAUAUUUUCAAGGUGUUGAAACAGGUUCACCCUGACAUCGGGAUCUCGAGCAAAGCCAUGGGGAUUAUGAACAGUUUCAUCAACGAUAUCUUUGAGAAACUGGCUCAGGAGUCUUCUAGAUUGGCUAGGUAUAACAAGAAGCCGACGAUCGCAUCGAGGGAGAUCCAGACGGCGGUGAAAUUGGUUUUGCCUGGUGAACUGGCGAAACACGCCGUCUCUGAAGGAACCAAGGCGGUUACUAAGUUCACAAGUUCUUAGAAUUGUGUAUUCUUUUUCAAUUGAAAUUGGGAUUUAAUUAGCGGGUUUUAGGGUUUUUAUUUUUUGAAUAAUGGUGGUAGUGCUGUAGUUGGGAUAGAGAGGUAAACUGUUUUAUGGAUACAAUAAUGAUAGUUACUAUUUGAAAUAGUUUUAUCUAUAUUUUGCUAAAAUCGUAUAGGGAUGAAUUUGGAUGAAUUUUGUAUUCAUUGUGUCAUUUUGAGUUGUGUGACUCAAACCUCUGAUGGGGUUUAUGAGUUGGUGGUAUGAUAGGAGACGUGAAGGUUGAGACCCUGUUUGUGUCCUUGAUGGGAGAUGAAUGAAAUAAUUUGUUGUGGUCAAGAAUCAAAAUAUGGAGUGAAAGCAAGGGAUUUUUAUAUCAUUAAAAGGCUUUGCUUUGUUGUCAGCUUGGCUGGAAAGAAAAAAAAAUAUUACUUACUGUUUAAAAGUGAAAUCACCUAUUUUGGAUGUUCAAGUUAAUGAAAAAGAAAUUUUUGUCAACAAAAUUAUUAUUUUUCUUUUGUUAAUUUGGUCAGAAAAUCAUUAUUGACCGUAUAUUUUUAGAGGUUAUUAUUAUUUUUGUCACCCUAAAAUACCUAGAAAUACGCUAUAGCUUUUUUGUUACCCUUUCAUGAUAGGUUAAUUUCCUUUUUAGUGUGACCAAAUAAACAAAAAAAAAUGAAUGAUUAAAAUAAGUACAAUUAUUAUUUAGAGUAAUUAAUCCGGUAAUUUUCUAUUUUUUUUAUUUUAAUGACAAUCUUCUUUAAAUAAAAAAAAGUCGUGGUUUUUUUUUUUAUUCUUUUUCUUUAUUUUGUUUUUGAAGUAGUGGUUUUUUUAUUUUAUUUUUCUCUAUGUUGUUUUUAUUAUUAAUUAAUUUUAGCUUUGGAUUUUUUUUUGAAAAAAUAAUUCAUUAAAAUUAGCACAAAAGAAAAUCAGUAGGAUAAAUCAACGAGGAAGGGAAACACUAAUCUAAACCAACUCCAUCCUAAUCUCUUCAUCGUCGAUAGAAGCACUACAAGCCAAAUCCGCAUCUAAAAUAACUUAUAAAAAGGGAUGAACAACAUCCCAAUAAGUGAGGUUGUUGCUGUCGUUGCUUUGUUUGGCAAUUUAUUUACUUCAAAUUAACUGCAAUGCUUUCCUUACUUUGAUUUGUAAUUGAUGUUUAUAAUUUGAUUUAUGGUAAAUUACAGUCUCUCAAUUAUUGGUAAGUUUUUGUUUUAUUACACAAUUAUGAAAAAUUAAAAAUGGCUAUCCAAUUAUAUCCAAUUUUUUUCCUUUUCGAUCAGCAACAGUUAAAUGAUUGACAGAAAGAAGACAUGUCAACUUCUAAAACUGGCAUAAUAAUAAUUUUAACCCUCUACAUUUAUAUAUUAUGUCAAUUUAGUCUUAAUUCUAAAUAAGUUAACCUCAAUGUUUAUGCAUUGUAUAAUUUGGUCUCUUUUUUUUCUUUUCAAUUUUGCUUUUCUUUGUGACAUUUUCACCUAAAAAGCUAAAAAAGAUUAUCAACUAAAUUUGAACGAACAUAUACCAAAAAUGAAAAUACCCAAAAUUUCAAGAUAAUAAUUUUUAUCUUCUCAUUCUUUUAAAACUAACCCUUAAUGUCACAAAUAAAAGUAAUAUCGUAAAAAAAAAAGAAGAUCAAAUUGCACAAGGUGUAAAUGUUGAGGUUUAGUUUUUUUUUUGGAAUCAAGACUAAAUUGACACAACAUAUAAAUAAUGAGGGUUAAAAUUGUUAUUAUGCCAAUUAGAAAAACUACCAAGUUAUCUUUCUAAUGAUAAUUUAACGGUUGGUGACCAAAAGAGAAAACUUCAAAUAUUUGGGCGACCAAAGAAGAAAAGUCAAGUAGUUGGGUGACCAAAAAAUAAAUUUACCAAUAGUUGGGUGUAGAGGUGUUCAUGGGCCGGGCCGGGCCUGAAAAAAAUUUAGCCCGAUUUCUAGGCCCGAGCCCGGCCCGACCCGGAAUAUGGGCCUGAGAUUUUGCCCAGGCCCGGCCCGUGGAGAAAAUAUGAAGCCCGGGCCCGGCCCGGCCCGGCCUUUUUUUUUUUACUUAAAACUAAUUGUUAUUAAAAUUAUAUCAAAUAUCAAAUUAUAUUUUUUAUACUAUAUAAUGAACAAAAAAUAAAAUAAGAUUACUUAUUUGAAUUUAAUUACAAACAAUCAAUUCUUAAAAAAAGAGAAUAAAAAUAAAAAAUGAUUAUACAAGUAAUUACAAAACAAUUAACUCGAAUUUAAUUACUUUUAACUUUUUAACUUUAAAUAUUUUAAAAUUUAUCAUAUCAUUACAUUUUUAUGCUUUUAAAGGAUAACAAAUUAACAAUGUUAUACUAAAUCUGUUAAUUUAUGGCCAAUUUUGCAUUUCCCAAAGGUAAUUUAUGGCCUCACAAUUUUAUACGAAAUCUGUUUGUUCUUGGCUAUAUUUUGUCUUAAUUAUUUAUGGCCAAAUUAGUUAUUUACGAAUGGCAUAUAGAAAGCAUUUGAAGAAGACUCUCUUCAUUUUGGGAUUGUUAAAUAGACUUGAUAAAUCUGCUUAUGGCAGCUUGUAAAAACUGAUUCUCACCAUUUUAACAAGGAUUUGCACUUUCAAAAGUAUAAUUGCAGAAGAAUCGAAGUGAAGAGAAACUAAAACUUAAAACUUUGGGGCUUCAUAAUAACAAAAAGACAACAUUUUCAAUAGUUCAUAACAUAAAAAUAAUACCUUCGAACAGUACAUAACAUUUAAAAAGAAAACAAAAACAAAUCUUUGGACAGCAUAAAACAUAAAGCAUAAAAAAUAAUACCUUCAGAAGUUGCAGAAGAAUCGAAGUGAAGAGAAGUAGAGAACAACAACAACGCUAGCGUCGUGGAACUGGAGCCUGGAGGUAGAGUCGUCGAGGACCGUACAUCGGAGGUGGGAUGGUUGAUCGGUGGAGGUGGAGGUGGAGUUUUCGAUUUGGGGGAAAAAAUGAGGAGGGAAGGGAAGGGGUUAGGGAUUCUGAAGUUUGAACGGGUGGGGGAAAUGGGAAAGGUAAGUAGGUAAC